rnacentral:rRNA from 1 species
GCGACCCCAGGUCAGGCGGGGCUACCCGCUGAAUUUAAGCAUAUCAAUAAGC